GUGAAUCUUGCAUGCUUUAAACUGUGAGCAGGUGCCGAUUGAUACCUGUGUAGGCCUAGGAUUACGAUUGCAUGUGAGCUGGAAUUGUGUUGUAUGUAAGCCGUUGAAAUGGCUUGAGAUUCACCACAGGAUCAUCCGAUUGGGAAGGACAGCUCUACAGAAGUCUUAAAUAGACGCUGCAGGCACGAAAGUCGUGGGGGAUCGAAACAGGAUUAGAUACCCUUGGUUAGUUCCACAGCUGUAAACGAUGAUAACUCUGCUGUUUGGCGAUCAUACAUGUCUCAGUGCCAAGCGAAAGCGAUAUAGUUCUCCCCCUGGGGAGAGCGAGCGCAAAGGGGUUAAAUCUCAAAGAAUUGAGGGGGGGCCCGCACACGCGGAGGAAACACGUGUUUUAAAUCGCUGAUAUGCGAGGAGCCUCACCCGGGCUCUAGCAGUGCAGGAAAGUCAGAGAGAUACAUCAUUCUUUUGGGACAUGUUUCGAGGUGCUGCAUGGUUGUCGUCAGCUCGUGCCGUGAGGUGUCGGGUUAAGUCCCAUAACGAGCGCAACCCUUGUUGUCAGUUACCAUCAGGUAAAGGUGGGGACUCUGUAGAGACUGCCUCCGUAAGGUGUGAGGAAGGUGGGGAUGACGUCAAAUCAGCACGGCCCUUAUGUCCGGGGCGACACACGUGUUACAAAUGGGAGGUACAGAGGGGCAGCUAUCCAGUGACGGAGUGCAAAUCUCAAAAACCUUUCUCAGUUCGGAUUGGAGUCUGCAACUCGCCUCCAUGAAGUUGGAUUCGCUAGUAAUCGCGCAUCAGCCAUGGCGCGGUGAAUACGUUCCCGGGCCUUGUACACACCGCCCGUCAAGCCAUGGAAGCUUGGGGUACCGAAGUUAUGGACCGCAAGGAGCGACCUAG
rnacentral:rRNA from 1 species